GCCUGGGUGGCUCAGUCUGUUAAGCGUCUGACUUUGGCUCAGGUCAUGAUCUCGCUGGGUUUGUGAGUUCGAGCCCCACAUCGGGCU
rfam:Felis catus isolate Cinnamon breed Abyssinian chromosome D1, whole genome shotgun sequence.